rnacentral:rRNA from 1 species
UGGGGAAUUUUGGACAAUGGGCGAAAGCCUGAUCCAGCAAUGCCGCGUGUGUGAAGAAGGCCUUCGGGUUGUAAAGCACUUUUGUCCGGAAAGAAAUCCUUGGCUCUAAUACAGUCGGGGGAUGACGGUACCGGAAGAAUAAGCACCGGCUAACUACGUGCCAGCAGCCGCGGUAAUACGUAGGGUGCAAGCGUUAAUCGGAAUUACUGGGCGUAAAGCGUGCGCAGGCGGUUUGCUAAGACCGAUGUGAAAUCCCCGGGCUCAACCUGGGAACUGCAUUGGUGACUGGCAGGCUAGAGUAUGGCAGAGGGGGGUAGAAUUCCACGUGUAGCAGUGAAAUGCGUAGAGAUGUGGAGGAAUACCGAUGGCGAAGGCAGCCCCCCUGGGCCAAUACUGACGCUCAUGCACGAAAAGCGUGGGGAGCAAACAGGAUUAGAUACCCUGGUAGUCCACGCCCUAAAACGAUGUCAACUAGUUGUUGGGGAUUCAUUUCCUUAGUAACGUAGCUAACGCGUGAAGUUGACCGCCUGGGGAGUACGGUCGCAAGAUUAAAACUCAAAUGAAUUGACGGGGUCAUAGCUGUUUCCU